rnacentral:rRNA from 1 species
AGUGAACGCUGGCGGCAGGCCUAACACAUGCAAGUCGAACGGCAGCACAGGGGAGCUUGCUCCCUGGGUGGCGAGUGGCGGACGGGUGAGGAACACAUCGGAAUCUGCCUAUUUGUGGGGGAUAACCUCGGGAAACCGGGACUAAUACCGCAUACGACCUACGGGUGAAAGCCGGGGACCUUCGGGCCUGGCCCAGAUAGAUGAGCCGAUGUCGGAUUAGCUAGUUGGAGGGGUAAAGGCCGACCAAGGCGACGAUCCGUAGCUGGUCUGAGAGGAUGAUCAGCCACACUGGGACUGAGACACGGCCCAGACUCCUACGGGAGGCAGCAGUGGGGAAUAUUGGACAAUGGGCGAAAGCCUGAUCCAGCCAUGCCGCGUGAGUGAAGAAGGCCCUCGGGUUGUAAAGCUCUUUUGUUGGGAAAGAAAAGCCAUGGGUUAAUACCCUGUGGUUCUGACGGUACCCAAAGAAUAAGCACCGGCUAACUUCGUGCCAGCAGCCGCAGUAA